AAUGACGAGAGUAGUACUAGGAGGUGACCUCCCGGGAAGUCCUCGUGUUGCAUUUA
rnacentral:sRNA from 1 species